GACGUAGGGCGCGAGCGUUGUCCGGAUUUAUUGGGCGUAAAGAGCUCGUAGGCGGCUUGUCGCGUCGAAUGUGAAAACUCGGGGCUCAACCCCGCGCUUGCAUUCGAUACGGGCAGGCUCGAGUUCGGUAGGGGAGACUGGAAUUCCUGGUGUAGCGGUGAAAUGCGCAGAUAUCAGGAGGAACACCGGUGGCGAAGGCGGGUCUCUGGGCCAAAACUGACGCUGAGGAGCGAAGGCGUGGGGAGCGAACGGG
rnacentral:rRNA from 1 species